AGCCUAGGUAUUGUUUCCUUGU
rnacentral:siRNA from 1 species